GAUGAACGCUAGCGGCAGGCUUAAUACAUGCAAGUCGAGGGGCAGCAGGUUUGUAGCAAUACAGAUGCUGGCGACCGGCAAACGGGUGCGGAACACGUACACAACCUUCCUUUAAGUGGGGAAUAGCCCAGAGAAAUUUGGAUUAAUACCCCGUAACAUUAUGAUGUGGCAUCACAUUAUAAUUAUAGCUCCGGCGCUUAAUGAUGGGUGUGCGGCUGAUAGAUAGUUGGCGGGUAACGGCCCACCAAGUCUGCGAUCAGUAACUGGUGUGAGAGCACGACCAGUCACACGGGCACUGAGACACGGGCCCACUCCUACGGAGGCAGCAGUAAGGAAUAUUGGGCAAUGGAGGCAACUCUGACCCAGCCA
rnacentral:rRNA from 1 species